AGCAUAUCAAUAAGCGGAGGAAAAGAAACCAACAGGGAUUGCCUCAGUAACGGCGAGUGAAGCGGCAAGAGCUCAAAUUUGAAAUCUGGCCCCUCCGGGGUCCGAGUUGUAAUUUGCAGAGGAUGCUUCGGAUACGGCCCCCGUCUAAGUGCCCUGGAACGGGCCGUCGGAGAGGGUGAGAAUCCCGUCUGGGACGGGGUGUCCGUGUCCGUGUGAAGCUCCUUCGACGAGUCGAGUUGUUUGGGAAUGCAGCUCUAAAUGGGUGGUAAAUUUCAUCUAAAGCUAAAUAUUGGCCGGAGACCGAUAGCGCACAAGUAGAGUGAUCGAAAGAUGAAAAGCACUUUGAAAAGAGAGUUAAACAGCACGUGAAAUUGUUGAAAGGGAAGCGCUUGCGACCAGACUCGCCGGCGGGGUUCAGCCGGGAUUCGUCCCGGUGUACUUCCCCGCCGGCGGGCCAGCGUCGGUUUGGGCGGCCGGUCAAAGGCCUCCGGAAUGUAUCGCCCCCCGGGGCGUCUUAUAGCCGGAGGUGCAAUGCGGCCUGCCCGGACCGAGGAACGCGCUUCGGCACGGACGCUGGCAUAAUGGUCGUAAGCGACC
rnacentral:rRNA from 2 species